rnacentral:rRNA from 1 species
AGAAUCAACGCUGGCGGCGUGCCUAACACAUGCAAGUCGAACGCGGUUACCCCGCAAGGGGUAACUGAGUGGCAAACGGGUGAGUAACGCGUGGGUGACCUACCUUCGAGUGGGGGAUAACGUUUCGAAAGGAACGCUAAUACCGCAUGACAUCCUGCCUUUGGACAGGCGGAGAUCAAAGCCGGGGAUCGUAAGACCUGGCGCUUGGAGAGGGGCCCGCGUCCGAUUAGCUAGUUGGUGAGGUAACGGCUCACCAAGGCGACGAUC